rnacentral:rRNA from 1 species
UUCGAAGCAACGCGAACGAACCUUACCGAGGUCUUGACAUCCCGAUGCUAUUUCUAGAGAUAGAAAGUUACUUCGGUACAUCGGUGACAGGUGGUGCAUGGUUGUCGUCAGCUCGUGUCGUGAGAUGUUGGGUUAAGUCCCCGCAACGAGCGCAACCCCUAUUGUUAGUUGCCAUCAUUCAGUUGGGCACUCUAGCGAGACUGCCGGUAAUAAACCGGAGGAAGGUGGGGAUGACGUCAAAUCAUCAUGCCCCUUAUGACCUGGGCUACACACGUGCUACAAUGGUUGGUACAACGAGUUGCGAGUCGGUGACGGCGAGCUAAUCUCUUAAAGCCAAUCUCAGUUCGGAUUGUAGGCUGCAACUCGCCUACAUGAAGUCGGAAUCGCUAGUAAUCGCGGAUCAGCACGCCGCGGUGAAUACGUUCCCGGGCCUU